rnacentral:rRNA from 1 species
CAAUAGCGUAUAUUAAAGUUGUUGCGAAGUAAAAGCUCGUAGUUGGUAUUUCUGGGAGGGUGCCUAAUCGUCCGCCGGUAGUGCGUGUGGCAGCCGCGCCCUUCCAUCCUUCUGUUAACGUCUCUUGGCAUUUAUUUGCUGGUGGCGGGCUCAGAUAUUUUACCUUGAGAAAAUUAGAGUGUUUCAGGCAGGCUAGGCCGGAAUAUAUUAGCAUGGAAUAAUGGAAUAGGACUAUGGUCUCUUUGUUGGUUUGAGGGACUGCAGUAAUGAUUAAUAGGGAUAGUUGGGGGCGAUUAGUAUUUAAUUGUCAGAGGUGGAAUUCUCAGAUUUGUUAAAGACUAACUUAUGCGAAAGCAUUUGCCAAGGAUGUUUUCAUUAAUCAAGAACGAAAGUU